GAGAAUCCUCCCAAAUUUGCCGAGGUCCUGAUUUACUGCGUUUAGAUGCAGUUAUUGCUCUCAAAUGAGAACGAGCAGAGGCUGAAUUAGUGACCGUUGUAAAUGAUGAGGGCUGCAACAGUUGAUCAAGAUAAGGCAUAUCAGCAGUUCCAAAAUAUUUCCAAGGCUGACCCUUCAUUUUGGCUUCCAUGUCUCCUACGAGCAGAGCUGCAGCACCUAGUUCUAG
rnacentral:misc_RNA from 1 species